rnacentral:misc_RNA from 1 species
UUAAUUUUUAAGUAUUAUAAUUAUUCAUUAGUUAGUGUCUCAAUUUUAAGAAUUAUUUUACUUAAUCUAAUUUCAUUAAAUUAAAUGAUACCAAUGGAGCAAAAUGAAGUUAAGAAAGAAACUUCUCUCUAUAUUCUCUAUUUUCUACUCUCUCUCUCUAAUCUUUAUUUUUAUCUUCCCCUCUCUCUGUUCAAUCCACGGCUCUCUCCUCCAUUAAACACAAUAAAA